rnacentral:rRNA from 1 species
UACGGAGGGAGCUAGCGUUGUUCGGAAUUACUGGGCGUAAAGCGCGCGUAGGCGGCUUUGUAAGUUAGAGGUGAAAGCCUGGAGCUCAACUUCAGAAUUGCCUUUAAGACUGCAUCGCUUGAAUCCAGGAGAGGUGAGUGGAAUUCCGAGUGUAGAGGUGAAAUUCGUAGAUAUUCGGAAGAACACCAGUGGCGAAGGCGACUAACUGGACAUGUAUUGACGCUGAGGUGCGAAAGCGUGGGGAGCAAACAGG